rnacentral:rRNA from 1 species
AUUGAACGCUGGCGGCAUGCUUUACACAUGCAAGUCGAGCGGCAGCGCGGGGGCAACCCUGGCGGCGAGCGGCGAACGGGUGAGUAAUGCAUCGGAACGUAUCCUCGAGUGGGGGAUAACCCAGCGAAAGUUGGGCUAAUACCGCAUGAGCUCUGAGGAGGAAAGCGGGGGACCUGCGAGGGCCUCGCGCUGGAGGAGCGGCCGAUGUCCGCUUAGCUAGUUGGUGGGGGAAAGGCCUACCAAGGCGACGAUCGGUCGCUGGUCUGAGAGGAUGAUCAGCCACACUGGGACUGAGACACGACCCAGACUCCUACGGGCGGACGCAGUGGGGAAUUUUGGACAAUGGGGGCAACCCUGAUCCAGCCAUGCCGCGUGAGUGAAGAAGGCCUUCGGGUUGUAAAGCUCUUUCGGACGGAACGAAAUGGGCGGGACUAAUACUCCUGUCUGAUGACGGUACCGUAAGAAGAAGCACCGGCUAACUACGUG